UUGACUUCGACACGGGGUGGCAGGCGCUGCUGGGAUGGUGUUGGUGGGGAAGACGGUGGAGCAGUCCCUGGGGAGGUGAUGGGAGGAGGAGGAGCUGCCGGUCUGAGGGCACAGCAGAGGGCUCAGAGAGCUGAGGAGACCAACGAGCUGGAGGAGGUGCUGCGCUCAAGGAGCAGAGAGGGCGCGCAGUUAAGAGAAGGAGCGGAGAGUUGCCCAGCAGAAGGAGGUGCUGAGGAAAGAGAGAGAGGUUGCAGAGAAGAUUGCAGCGCGGGCGUACACCCAGCAGUACCUGGCUGACCUCCUCCCCGCUGUCUUCACCUCGCUGAGAAGCCACGGCUACUUUUAUGACCCCGUGGAGAAAGAUAUUGAAACUAAUUUCUUCCCCUGGCUGAUGGCUGAGGUGAACAACAGUUUGGAGAAGAGAUACACGGCAAGAGCGCUGCUGGACA